UACGUAGGGACCGAGCGUUAUCCGGAUUCAUUGGGCGUAAAGAGCUCGUAGGCGGCUAUUCAAGUCGAACGUGAAAUCUCGGGGCUCAACUCCGAGCCUGCGUUCGAUACUGGGUAGCUAGAGUCUGGUAGGGGGAUCUGGAAUUCCUGGUGUGAGCGGUGGAAUGCGCAGAUAUCAGGAGGAACACCGGUGGCGAAGGCGGGAUCCUGGGCCAGUACUGACGCUGAGGAGCGAAAGCGUGGGGAGCAAACAGG
rnacentral:rRNA from 1 species